GCCUCUCUUUUUUAUUUGAGGUAUUACCUGCUCAAUGCUUGGGUAAAUAGCCGCAGUAUUCUGACUGUGCGAAGGUAGCAUAAUAAAUUGGCCUUUAAUUGGGGUCUGGAAUGAAUGGUUUGACAAGGGUUUAACUGUCUUACAGUGAAAUGUUUUGAAAUUGAAUUGUUUAUAAAAAUGUGAACAUGGAAGAGAGGGACGAGAAGACCCUAUAGAUCUUUAAAUUAAUUACUGAUUUGAAAAGAGUUAGAAUUUUUUUUAUUUGGGGAAAAUCUGGAAAUGUUAGAGAAAACUUCGGCUAAUAUAAGCGAAAAGAUUAAAUUAUUGAUUUUUGAUCCACUAAAGAAGUGAAAAAGUGAAAAAGUUACCUUAGGGAUAACAGGACAAUGAUUUUUUAUGAGAUCUUAUCUUAAAGAACGAUUGUUACCUCGAUGUUGAAUUAAGUUAUCUUGUUAAAGGAGAAAUUCUUAUAGUUGGUCUGUUCGACCAUUAAAAAC
rnacentral:rRNA from 1 species